UACGUAGGGAGCAAGCGUUGUCCGGAAUCAUUGGGCGUAAAGCGCGCGUAGGUGGCCUCAUAAGUCCGCUGUGAAAGUCAAAGGCUCAACCUUUGAAAGCCGGUGGAUACUGUGGGGCUAGAGUACGGAAGAGGCGAGUGGAAUUCCUGGUGUAGCGGUGGAAUGCGCAGAUAUCAGGAGGAACACCAAUAGCGAAGGCAGCUCGCUGGGACGUUACUGACACUGAGGCGCGAAAGCGUGGGAGCGAACAGG
rnacentral:rRNA from 1 species